AUUGAACGCUGGCGGCAUGCCUUACACAUGCAAGUCGAACGGCAGCACGGGAGCCAUCCUGGUGGCGAGUGGCGAACGGGUGAGUAAUGUAUCGGAACGUACCUUUCAGCGGGGGAUAACGUAGCGAAAGUUACGCUAAUACCGCAUAUUCUGUGAGCAGGAAAGCAGGGGAUCGCAAGACCUUGCGCUGAUUGAGCGGCCGAUAUCAGAUUAGCUAGUUGGUGAGGUAAAGGCUCACCAAGGCGACGAUCUGUAGCGGGUCUGAGAGGAUGAUCCGCCACACUGGAACUGAGACACGGUCCAGACUCCUACGGGAGGCAGCAGUGGGGAAUUUUGGACAAUGGGCGCAAGCCUGAUCCAGCCAUGCCGCGUGAGUGAAGAAGGCCUCGGUUGUAAGUA
rnacentral:rRNA from 1 species